GAUGAACGCUAGCGGCAGGCUUAAUACAUGCAAGUCAAGGGGGUAGCAAUACAACCGGCGCACGGGUGAGUAACACGUACACAACAUACCAUAUACUGAGGUAUAGCUUCGGGAAACUGAAGGUAAUCCCUCAUAGUAUUGUGAAAGGGCAUCUUUUACAAUUAAAGUUUCGACGGUAUAUGAUUGGUGUGCGUUUGAUUAGCUAGUUGGUAGGGUAACGGCCUACCAAGGCAACGAUCAAUAGCUGGCGUGAGAGCGCGACCAGCCACACUGGAACUGAGACACGGUCCAGACUCCUACGGGAGGCAGCAGUGAGGAAUAUUGGGCAAUGCUCGAAAGAGUGACCCAGCAACGCCGCGUGGAGGAUGAAGGUAUUCUAUAUCGUAAACUCCUGUGAGAGCAGACGAAAGACAGAUUAUUAAUCUGGAUGACUGUAUGCUCAGAGGAAGCCCCGGCUAACUACGUG
rnacentral:rRNA from 1 species